UGAUCGUUUAACCUACUUGUAGAAAAGCUACCUGGAAAGGAACUUACUUGGCAUUGUUUAUCUAAUAUCACUUCAGGCAUCAUUGGGUUUUGCAUAGACAUUUCGAAUGUCUAUGCAAACCAAAGGCUCCAAUAAUCACAAGCUGGCAUCAGUGAAAUCGCGGGUUUCUCGGAAUCAUCUGCAACUUGCGUCCGCUACUGGUGGAGAGGCGCUGAUCGUGAUAUAUAAAAGGGGGGUAAAGGAUCCUUCAGCCUGCAGUUGAAUCGUCUGAGCUCAGUCGGAAGGAACACACCACAACAAUGGCAAACAAGACAUUUCUGUUAGUCCUUGCUCUCGCUUUGUGCGUAGCCACUAUGGCCGAGAAGCGAGCAGACCGUCCCCUCAUCGGUAGCUCCGAAUUCUCCAUUCACCCCAAGUACAGGACCUCGGCCGGUAGGCCCGGUGCCGACCUCCCCCCCAUUGGGAGCGACCCUGCGUCCCUUCCUCCUAAGAAAAACGAUGAUUAUAUCGUCGUAGGACCCGGAGGUAUCCACAACCCCGACGCCUACAGGGAGGAGUAAUGGCAACGCCUUGCAGUAGACGUUUUAUUCAAAAUUCUAAACGAGAUUAGGAGAUAUUCAAGAGAUUGACAUCGCAUUUAGAUCAUGGAAAGCGCAUUUUGGGUUAACUGACAUGGAGAGAUUAUGAAAUAUCUUAUAUCAGUUAAAUGGUAAUUAUUAGAAGCUUGACAAUCUAUUCUGUGAUUAAUAACAAUUAUUAUUACAUUGCUCUAGAUGUCUUGGAAUCGAGAUAUAAUCGAAUCUCUUUCCUACUAAGAUUAAUUACUAUGGUUGCAUUAAACCAAUCUAACGUAAGAAAACAUAAUGUAGCAUGGACUCUUAUUUCUUUAGUCAUAGGAGAUUGAAAUCGUUUGAAAGUAUUGAUUCAAAUGAAAUUUGCUGCGCUUGCAUUCAGUCGUGAAGUUUAAAUCUUGAUGAAGUAGAUCGUCACAUGUGAGAUGUUUUGUAUCAUUAGAGGAGAAUUUUAAUAAAUUUGAUUUUUAGAAUAA